CCCUCCCCACCCCACCCCGCCCCCCCACCGAACCAAAUCAAACCAUCCANNNNNNNNNNNNNNACCCUACCUCGCCGGGUCCCCGACCGCCGACCGACAUGGCCGCCGCCGUCGCCGGUUCCUCCGCCGCAUCCCUCCCGGCCCCAAUCCCCCUCAACGACAAGGCGGCGGCCGUGGGCGGCGGGGUCGGCGGCGACCGGGCUGCGGGGGGCUGCGGGGUGUGCGCGAUCUGCCUCGACAGGAUCCCGCUCCAGGAGACGGCGCUCGUCAAGGGCUGCGACCACGCCUACUGCGUCACUUGCAUUCUGAGGUGGGCAUCCUACAAGCAGACACCAGUAUGCCCUCAAUGCAAGCACCCGUUUGAGUUCCUCAGUGUGCAUCGCUCUCUUGAUGGCUGCCUUCAUGACUACAUGUUCGAUGAGAGCGUUUGUCUUCUUCUGAGAGCCACUUGGUUUAAGCCUCUGGUCGUAGAGGCUCACGAGGAGGCUCAGGAGGAAGAAGACAUUUACCGUAGUUACCAAUAUGAUGAUGGCGAUGAGGAUGACCUUUAUGAGGAAUACAUAAGCAGGUCACCGAGCAUUCGAAUUGGUAACAGGAGGUGGGGUGACAAUGGGUACGUCAGAGGGGGCAGGAGGGAGGCCAGGCCAGUAGUGAUCCCUCCUGUUGUUGAUGCUGUUCCAUCCAGGACUCCCAAGAAGAAAGAGGGAUCAGCGUCAGGUUCAGGGUCAGGUUCAGUGUCCAAGGAUGUUGCAGGGCGGCGGGCAAGAAGGGCUCAGAAGCGAGAGGCUGCCGACAAGGCGGCUGCAGAGAAGCACCUCAAGCUCCUGCAGAGGCUGGGCCGCGGGAAAACUCCCGAAGCGCCACCUGAAGCACUGGAAUCACUGGAGGUUGGUCCUCCUGUGAUCGAGUGAUCCAUCAGCCUCUGUAGAUAACGCUGCUGCGGGGAACGCUGCAGCCCCUGGGAGCCCCCUCCAAUAAUCCUCCCGGUGCGAAGAAGAGGAAACCGGGCCUUGUAUCCUGGCAACUUUGUCGCGUUGUACAGUAAUUUAGCUUCGAGUCACUCGUUAGGUCGGUCAUCGGAGCUGCUACCCAGUCUGCUCCAGAUGCAGCAAUGUGGUCGGUCGGUCGGUUUAUCCCACACUGAUAGUUGUUUAAUUCAAAAAGGUCAUGUACUCGUGUCGUAUUAGGGGCACAAAAAUUGCUUGCUGUGCUAAUUUUCCUGGCAAUGUGGCAAUUGUGGUAGGUUGUUACAUCCAUCUACCCAAGAAGAAAAUGAAAUGGGGGAACGGAGUCUUACUGUG
rnacentral:rRNA from 1 species